GACGAACGCUGGCGGCGUGCUUAACACAUGCAAGUCGAACGGAAAGGCCCUGCUUUCGUGGGGUGCUCGAGUGGCGAACGGGUGAGUAACACGUGAGUAACCUGCCCUUGACUUUGGGAUAACUUCAGGAAACUGGGGCUAAUACCGGAUAGGAGCCCCUGCUGCAUGGUGGGGGUUGGAAAGUUUCGGCGGUUGGGGAUGGAUUCGCGGCUUAUCAGCUUGUUGGUGGGGUAGUGGCUUACCAAGGAUUUGACGGGUAGCCGGCCUGAGAGGGUGACCGGCCACAUUGGGACUGGGAUACGGCCCAGACUCCUACGGGGGGCAGCAGUGGGGAAUAUUGCACAAUGGGCGGAAGCCUGAUGCAGCAACGCCGCGUGCGGGAUGACGGCCUUCGGGUUGUAAACCGCUUUCGCCUGUGACGAAGCGUGAGUGACGGUAAUGGGUAAAGAAGCACCGGCUAACUACGU
rnacentral:rRNA from 1 species